GAUGAAGAACGUAGUGAAAUGCGAUAAGUAAUGUGAAUUGCAGAAUUCAGUGAAUCAUCGAGUCUUUGAACGCACAUUGCGCCCCCUGGUAUUCCGGGGGGCAUGCCUGUCCGAGCGUCAUUGCUGCCCUCAAGCACGGCUUGUGUGUUGGGCCCCCGUCCCCGGUUUCCCCCGGGGACGGGCCCGAAAGGCAGCGGCGGCACCGCGUCCGGUCCUCGAGCGUAUGGGGCUUUGUCACCCGCUCUGUAGGCCCGGCCGGCGCCAGCCGACACCCAACUUUAUUUCUAAGGUUGACCUCGGAUCAGGUAGGGAUACCCGCUGAACUUAAGCAUAUCAAUAGCGGAGGA
rnacentral:misc_RNA from 1 species